UACCAGCACCCCGAGUGGUCGGGACGUUAUUGGGCCUAAAGCAUCCGUAGCCGGUUUACAAGUCCUCCGUUAAAUCCAGCUGCUUAACAGAUGGGCUGCGGAGGAUACUAUAAGACUAGGAGGCAGGAGAGGCAAGCGGUACUCAGUGGGUAGGGGUAAAAUCCGUUGAUCCAUUGAAGACCACCAGUGGCGAAGGCAGCUAGCUAAACCGACAUUGACGCUGAGGCACGAAAGCGUGGGGAUCAAACAGG
rnacentral:rRNA from 1 species